GCCGGCGCGGGCUGGAAGCGGCUGCACAAGCCGGAGCGCGGGGGACGCGCAGAGCUUAGUUCCAGCCCGUGCUCAUCCGUCCUUCCCAGACAGGCUUUCCUGCCUCUACUUCUCCGUUUUCUGUGCCUUUGUUCAUGCUAUUCCCUCUACCGAAAUGCUCUUCCCUUCAUCUCCACCUGUCAACAGUCAAGUCAUCCGCCAACCGCAGAUCACAGAGGACUGCCACCGGAAGAUCCCGGGCUUCCCUGGUGGCGCAGUAGUUAAGAAUCCGCCUGUCAAUGCAGGGGACACGGGUUCGAGCCCUAGUCCGGGAAGAUCCCACAUGCCGCGGAGCAACGAAGCCCGUGUGCCUCAACUACUGAGCCUGCGCUCUAGAGCCUGCGAGCCACAACUACUGAAGCCUGUGAGCCUAGAGCCCGAGCUCCGCAACAAGAGAAGCCAUCGCAAUGAGAAGCCCGCACACCACAAAGAAUAGUAGUCCCCACUCGCCGCAACUAGAGAAAGCCCACGUGCAGCAACGAAGACCCAACACAGCCAGAAACAAUGAAUAAAAUAAAAUAAAUAUAGGAUCCUCAUCCCCGUGUGGGUCUUAUUGCCGCUAUCCAUGGGGAGCUGCUGGAGGUGAGGACCCUGUCUUGGCCGUCUUUGUGUCCCUCUUAUGCCUGAUGACAGUGACAUUGCCUGGUGUCCAAAAAGUUUGUUGAAAGAAUGAAAUGCUUAAAACUUUAAUUGGUGGGAUUUCGAGAAGGUACUUGAGACAGAGCAGGCUCUUACUCAGCUUCAAACCUGGUAAACUGCUGUGUCUCUGAGCGAUUCACAUCUGGUCUGAAUCUGUCUUUGUUGAUGCCCUGUAGAGCCUUGUAACUAGUCCCCCAACUAACCUUCCUAUCUCCAGACCUUCUCCCUCAGCCCCUUCUUCCUACCCUCAUCCGUAAACCACAGUGACCUUUCAUACAAAUAGAAAUCUCACUUAUAAUAUAAAUAUAGCUGGAGUCUCAACCUUGGAGGGACAGGAGGGGGAUACCCUUUGCUUUGGGAAACGGCACAGGAUGAAUCAUUUAAGGUAAAUGGAUGGAAGCCUCCUAUCUGUCUACUAUUCUUUAGGAAAACUGUGAAGUCACUUUUUAAAAAGUGAGAUAUAACUGACAUACUAUAGUGCUUUUUAGUAUAUUUGCAAAGUUGUGCAGCCAUCACUACUACCUAAUUGCAGAACACUUUCAUCACCCCAAAAUGAAACCCCAUACGCGUUAGCAGUCACUCCCCAGUCCCUCCUCCCCCAGCCACUGAUAACCACUAAUCUACUUUCUGUCUCUAGGGAUUUGCCUGCUUCAGACAUUUCGUAUAAAUGG